rnacentral:rRNA from 1 species
GACGAACGCUGGCGGCGUGCUUAACACAUGCAAGUCGAACGGAAAGGUCCUGCUUUUGUGGGGUGCUCGAGUGGCGAACGGGUGAGUAACACGUGAGUAACCUGCCCUUGACUUUGGGAUAACUUCAGGAAACUGGGGCUAAUACCGGAUAGGAGCUCCUGCUGCAUGGUGGGGGUUGGAAAGUUUCGGCGGUUGGGGAUGGACUCGCGGCUUAUAAGCUUGUUGGUGGGGUAGUGGCUUACCAAGGCUUUGACGGGUAGACGGCCUGAGAGGGAGACCGGAAACAGUAGGAAUGAGGUAAGGCACUGAGGGCCGGCGGAGAAAGCAGUGGCGAAUACUGCACAAAGGGCGGAAGCCUGGUGCAGCAACGCCGCGUGCGGGAUGACGGCCUUCAGAUUGUAAACCGCUUUCGCCUGUGACGAAAAGUGAGUAACGGUAAUGGGUAAAGAAGCACCGGCUAACUACGGG